rnacentral:rRNA from 1 species
CUAAGCGUACACGGUGGAUGCCCUGGCAGUCAGAGGCGAUGAAGGACGUGCUAAUCUGCGAUAAGCGUCGGUAAGGUGAUAUGAACCGUUAUAACCGGCGAUUUCCGAAUGGGGAAACCCAGUGUGUUUCGACACACUAUCAUUAACUGAAUCCAUAGGUUAAUGAGGCGAACCGGGGGAACUGAAACAUCUAAGUACCCCGAGGAAAAGAAAUCAACCGAGAUUCCCCCAGUAGCGGCGAGCGAACGGGGAGGAGCCCAGAGCCUGAAUCAGUGUGUGUGUUAGUGGAAGCGUCUGGAAAGGCGCGCGAUACAGGGUGACAGCCCCGUACACAAAAAUGCACAUACUGUGAGCUCGAUGAGUAGGGCGGGACACGUGGUAUCCUGUCUGAAUAUGGGGGGACCAUCCUCCAAGGCUAAAUACUCCUGACUGACCGAUAGUGAACCAGUACCGUGAGGGAAAGGCGAAAAGAACCCCGGCGAGGGGAGUGAAAAAGAACCUGAAACCGUGUACG